rnacentral:rRNA from 1 species
GAUGAACGCUAGCGAUAGGCUUAACACAUGCAAGUCGAGGGGCAGCAUUAUUUUAGCUUGCUAAGAUAGAUGGCGACCGGCGCACGGGUGCGUAACGCGUAUGCAACCUGCCUGUAAUUAGGGAAUAACCCGGUGAAAGUCGGACUAAUACCCUAUAUUCUUCUUUCUCUGCAUGGGGGAGGACGGAAAGAUUUAUUGAUUACAGAUGGGCAUGCGUCCCAUUAGCUAGUUGGUAAGGUAACGGCUUACCAAGGCAACGAUGGGUAGGGGGACUGAGAGGUUGACCCCCCACACUGGUACUGAGACACGGACCAGACUCCUACGGGAGGCAGCAGUGAGGAAUAUUGGUCAAUGGGCGAGAGCCUGAACCAGCCAAGUCGCGUGAAGGAGGACGGUUCUAUGGAUUGUAAACUUCUUUUGUAGAGGAAUAAUGGCAGCUACGUGUAGCUGAGAUGCAUGUACUCUACGAAUAAGUAUCGGCUAACUCCGUGCCAGCAGCCGCGGUAAUACGGAGGAUACGAGCGUUAUCCGGAAUUAUUGGGUUUAAAGGGUGCGUAGGUGGCGUAUUAAGUCAGUGGUGAAAAGCUGCAGCUCAACUGUAGUCUUGCCGUUGAAACUGAUAUGCUAGAGAGGAGACGAGGUAUGCGGAAUGUGUGGUGUAGCGGUGAAAUGCAUAGAUAUCACACAGAACGCCGAUUGCGAAGGCAGCGUACCAGUGCUCCGUCUGACACUGUAGCACGAAAGCGUGUGGAUCAAAACAGGAUUAAAUACCCCUGGGUAGUCCAAGGGCGAAUUCCACAGUGGAUAUCAGCUUAUCGAUACCGUCGACCUCGAGGGGGGAAACAGAGUACCCAUCUUUUGUUCCCUUUAAUGUGGGUUUAAUAAUGGUGUUUCUCUUUCUCCGUCUUGUUUGGUGAUUGUGAUGUUUUCUUUGUCUCCUCUG